CCAGGUUUCCCAGGUGUUUGGCCUCGUCCAGCAGCGCUCCAGGAAGCAGCUGGGGAUCAGAACCGGAGAGCAGGGCUCUGGCGCUGGUCCGGGAGCGCGUGGAAGCGCUGAGGAACGACAGGCCGUCCUUCUGCAGGAACCGGUGAAGCUGUUCAAACUCUGCUCUGAUCCGCCUCUCGGUCUUCACCCGCUGUCCCUUGAGAACCACUUGAUAUCCUUUAAGUGCUCAGUGCAGACCACCUGGACCUUGUCAGAGGGGCCAGACCUCUGGGAGGGUUCAGUGCAGACCACCUGGGCCUCCUCAGAGGGGCCAGACCUCUGGGAGGGUUCAGUGCAGACCAC